rnacentral:sRNA from 1 species
GUUUUCUGAGACUGCAUCCACUUUGAUAGUUUCUACUGAGUCCAAAUUAGAACAUCCCAGCUGGUGGGCUGUCUCCCAGGAAGCCCUCGGAGAGGAGCGGUGCAUAGGGGGCACCUGGACACAGCCCACCUCCCCCGAGUAGCGUCAGGUAGGCUUGUCUAUUUACAUCCUUUCGCCCUUUCUCAGGAAACUAUCAGAUGAUGUGCUCCCCCAGAUGAAGAAGUAGUCCCAGGAAAAAGGAGACACGGGAUACAGGGAUCCUGAAGCCGGCGGAGGACAAGGGAGCUCCUGGGAGGACAGCUGUGCUCCCGCCUAGCAAUAGCGAGCAGCUGGUCCAGACUGCCGCCGUGACUCAGAAGAUAGACAUGCGGAGGGUUAUGAUCACAGAGCAACGAUGGUCCUUGUACAUGAAGCUAAAAAUGCUCAGGUGUGCCCAGGUUGAAGAAGAUGAAAGGCCCUGCUUCCCAGAGCGCCCGGGGGCACUGGUGAUCUCUUCCAGGUCUGUUUCCACCCACUGCAGCUGUGAUGGAGUCUUGCUCUGUUGCCCAGGCUAGAAUGCAGUGGCGUGAUCUUGGCUCACCACAAAUUCUGCCUCCUGGGUUCAAGUGCCUCCACACCGAGCUAAUUUUGUAUUUUUAGUAGAGACGAGAUUUCACCAUGUUGGCCAGGCUAGUCUUGAACUCCUGACAUUGUGAUCCACCCACCUCAGCCUCCCAAAGUGCUAAGAUUACAGGUGUGAGCCACCAUGCCCGGCCUACCUGGAGCAUUAUUAAAACCUUAAACCUUUAAA